UGGAGAAACGCUUCCCCGUAGCGCUGGAGAUGGUGAGCGGGGUGCAGGGGGGUGGCGGGGGGCGGGGGGGCUCGACGUGACCCCCUCCCGUGUCCCGCAGCGCGGCCAGGGCACGAAGGAGGUGACGGGAUGGUUCGAGGUGACGGUGGGCAGCCGCCUGGUGCACUCCAAGAAGGUGCGUGGUGGUGGCAGAGCCCCUCACUCCGCCCAGACCCCCCCCCAAAUAACCAUCUGCCAUCCAAACACCCCCAAAUCGUGCUCUUUUCUACCCAAACCCCAUCACUUCCCACCCGACCACCCCCAAUCCCUGCUAAUUUCUACCCAACCACCCCAAACCCCACCAUUCUCUACCCAACCCCCCCCCAACCCCUUUCCACCCAACCACCCCCAAAAUCCCACUAUUUUCUACCCAACCACCCCCAAAUCCCACUAUUCUCUACCCAACCACUCCAAACCCCACUAUUUUCUACCCAACCACCCCCAAAUCCCACUAUUCUCUACCCAACCACCCCCAAAAUCCCACUACUUUCUACCCAACCACUCCCAAACUCCACCACUUUCCACCUGACCACCCCCCAAACCCCACUAUUCUCUACCCAACCACCCCCAAUCCCUGCCAAUUUCUACCCAAUCACCCCAAACCCCACCAUUCUCUACCCAACCACCCCCAAUCCCUGCCAAUUUCUACCCAACCACCCCCAAACUCCACCACUUUCCACCCAACCACCUCAAAUCCCACUAUUUUCUACCCAACCACCCCCAAAUCCCACCAUUCUCUACCCAACCACCCCCAAUCCCUGCCAUUUUUUCUACCCAACGACCCCAAACCCCACUAUUUUCUACCCAACCACCCCAAACCCCUCCGUUUUCCACCCAAACCCACUGCCCUCCCCUUCCAGAACGGCGACGGCUUUGUGGACACGGACGCCAAACUGCAGUGCAUUGUGGCGGCCAUCCAAGCCGCCCUCCCGUAGGCCCCGCAUCGCCCCACAUCCAACGGGGCCGUGGGGGCCCACGCUGACCCCCCCAGCACCGCCUGGCUCUGCCGGCACAGCGCUCCAUGACGGGAGCAGCCAAAAAGCCCACGGGCACAGGGCUGCUUCCAGAACCCGCGCGUGGCACCGGAGCCAGAGCUCAUCUUCCAACCUGGUGGGGGUCCGCUGUACGUCAUCGAUGCUUCGCUCUGUGUCGACCAGGUUUGGCACACGCUGUCCACGUUUGAAUUUAUGACAGAGAGGUUUCGUUUGAUGCCUUCGACGCUUCGUUUGACGCCAGUGAUGUUUCAUUUGAUGCCAUUGACGUUUCGUUUGACGCCAUCGACGUUCUGCUUUAUGCCCACAUCGUUCACUGACUGCUGCUCCUCUCCUGGGUUGAGCUGUUCUGCCAUUAUAGCACCACUCGGUGACGUUACUCAAUAAAGGAACUUUGGGCUGCCUCA
rnacentral:lncRNA from 1 species